GCUGGGCAUGGUGGUGUGUGCCUGUAGUCCCAGCUACUCAGGAGGCAGAGGCAGGAGAAUCACUUGAACCCAGGAGGCGGAGGUUGCAGUGAGCUGAGAUCGUGCCAUUGCACUCCAGCCUGGGUGACAGAGUGAGACUCUGUCUCGA
rnacentral:SRP_RNA from 2 species